AUACGUAGGGGGCGAGCGUUGUCCGGAAUGAUUGGGCGUAAAGGGCGCGUAGGCGGCCUGUUAAGUCUGGAGUGAAAGUCCUGUUUUCAAGAUGGGAAUUGCUUUGGAUACUGAUGGGCUUGAGUGCAGGAGAGGUUAUCGGAAUUCCCGGUGUAGCGGUGAAAUGCGUAGAGAUCGGGAGGAACACCAGUGGCGAAGGCGGGUAACUGGACUGCAACUGACGCUGAGGCGCGAAAGGGUGGGGAGCAAACAGGAUUAGAUACCCUGGUAGUCCACACUGUAAACGAUGAAUGCUAGGUGUAAGAGGUAUCGACCCCUUUUGUGCCGGAGUUAACACAAUAAGCAUUCCGCCUGGGGAGUACGGCCGCAAGGUUGAAACUCAAAGGAAUUGACGGGG
rnacentral:rRNA from 1 species